AAAAGAAGAAGAAGAAGAAUGUGUUAGUACCUUGGACUUUUCUGUGUCUAAUCGCAGUUUUAAAAAUUGGCACUUUUUGAAGAACCCACAUCAAAGUAUUGUGUUAAAUCCAAUUUAUGAAGCAGUAGGUGCAUGGCAUGGUCGUUGCUUGUUGUCAGGUAUGUAUUGCAGCUGUGAAGACGAACGUACAUUCUCCUGUUAGGUUACAGCUGGUAGGAAGUUCUGACGAGGACAGCUGAGUGAUGUUGUUGGUGAGCUUGGAUUAAAUCAUCUCUAAACAAAGAACUUGUCCUCGUGGUGACUGACUUGGGGAGUGGAGGUCAGUGAGCCCAUUGUCUCUGCUGGUCCGACUCCAACUACAAAGCCGGCCCGCUCGCCCCCUCCUGAGUCUGAGAGGAGAUCCAGAGAGAAAGAAGUGAAAGCAGGCCGAAACCUCAGCACAUGGAUGACAUCAACCAAAAACAUCCAGGACUAGCAAGUAAAGAUGAGCCAGCGGCGAUCCCUGUGGAAAAGACUUUUCCCGCUAUGAAGCAGCCCAGAAGACGCAAGCGUGCCAACAGGGAGGACAGAAGCUUGAGCUGUGAUCAGUGUGGGAAGACCUUUACUCAGAUUGGUAGCUUAAAAAUACAUCAGCUUAUCCACACCGGUGUGAAACCAUUCAGCUGUGAUCAGUGUGGAAAGACCUUUACUCAGAGAUGCAGCUUAAAAAUACAUCAGCUUAUCCACAGCGGUGUGAAACCAUUCAGCUGUGAUCAGUGUGGAAAGACCUUUACUCAAAAAGAUCAUUUAAAGGUACAUCAGCUUAUCCACAGCGGUGUGAAACCAUUCAGCUGUGAUCAGUGUGGAAAGACCUUUACUCAAAAAGAUCAUUUAAAGGUACAUCAGCUUAUCCACAGCGGUGUGAAACCAUUCAGCUGUGAUCAAUGUGGAAAGACCUUUACUCAGAGAUUCAGCUUAAAAACACAUCAGGUCGUCCACACGAAAUUUAAAGCUUUCAACUGUGAUCAGUGUGGAAAGUCUUUUACUCAGAAAGGUAACUUAAAGAGACAUCAUAUGAUCCAUGUUGGAGGUAAAUCAUUUGUCUGUGAUCAGUGUGGAAAGUCUUUUCAGGAUAGAGAUCACUUAGAGAAACAUCAGGGCGUCCACAGUGAAGUUAAACCUUUCAGCUGUGAUCAGUGUGGAAAUUCUUUUAUCGGGAUUGAUAGGUUAAAAAGUCAUCAGCUCAUCCACAGUGGAGAGAAACCUUUCAGCUGUGAUCAGUGUGGAAAGUCUUUUACUCAGAUGGGCAAUUUAAAAACACAUCAGCUCAUCCACAGUGGAGAGAAAUCUUUCAGCUGUGAUCAGUGUGGAAAGUCUUUUGCUUACGUUAGUCACUUAAAAAGACAUCAGCUCAUCCACAGUGGUGCUAAACAGUUUGUAUGUGGUGACUGUGGAAAGGCUUUUACUCAAAAGACUGGCUUAAACUCACAUCAGCUCAUCCACUCUGGUGUUAAAUCAUUUGUAUGUGGUGACUGUGGAAAGGCUUUUAAUGAGAUUGAAAGCUUAAAAUCACAUCAGCUCACCCACUCUGGUACUAAACAAUUUGUAUGUGGUCAGUGUGGAAAGUCUUUCUUCCAUAACAAAAAUCUGUUGAAGCAUCAAAAGACCCACAAAGUGUCCUCCUGUGAGAAAAGGGGCAGACCAAUGGGACAUUACCCUGACAGGGUUCAUUUAAACACAGUGGGAGAAACAGGGGAUCUGAACAAAAGUUCUUCUGGAUGCUGCGUCAAACUUAAAAAGCUUGAGAUCAGGCUUCACAGAAUUCAGCUUUAAUUUCCUGAGAAAGUCAGAGCUUCACUAUGUCUUUGUAGAUCUAGUGAAAACAUGAAAGGGUGCAAAAAGAGGCACUGUGGUACUGCAUGAUGAAGUCAGAAGUGACAGAGAAGUAUGUGAGCGUGGUUCAGGACAUGUAUGUGUGGUAGCAGUGACUACCACACAUACUUGGGUUGAAGGUGGGGGGAGGAUUACAUCAAUUCUGAGCCCCUUCUUUCUUUUUCAAAGCGAGGGCAAUACUCAGGAAAGGAUGAUGACAAUAGAGCUGCAAGACUGGAUGGAAAGAAAAAGAGUUUAAGAGAAGAUCAUGAAUAUUGUGAAGCAAUUGAGCCGCGAUCACAAAAUCUUAGCUUAUGGAGUUAGUUAUCCCAAUACAAGUUUAGCAAGUUACACUUCACUGGCUGUGUCCACAAACAGCAUACAGAGCAAACAUUACUCCAUCAUCUGAUCACAAGAAAAGCAAAAUGUCAGAAGAGUUCACCUUCUGGGUCAAACUGUCAGACCUGUUACUGUUUAUUUGGCUGUUCAUCGUGAGGUAAUUAUCAGUGUCAGUGCUGUGCCACUUCUAUUGUAACUCACAUGAAAUGUGUUUUAAAUUGGCUCUAUUGUCUUACAAUAUUGUGUGAGUCUGUUUUGCUCAACAAAGACACAACCCCUCCUGCAAUGUUUAAUGUUACAGCAAAAAAAGGUAAAUUGAUAAAUUUGUGUCAUUUUUAAACAGGCAGUAUUUAGAAAAUUAAAUAUAUUCUUACCCAUGUGUAAAGUUUUCAGUGGUCUGUGUUUUCUUACAGGAUGUGAGUGUGUUUUGCUUCAUGAAGAGACAAACUUACAUUGUUUUUAUGUUGCAGUAAAAAUAUUUCUAUUGUAAGUCAUAAAUUUUACUCAUUUUCAUCCAGGCAGUAUGUAAAAGAUUAACUGAAUCCUAUGAAAAAGAAAAUGUAGAAAGAUGUGA